UAUAGACCAGGAACGCCCAACUCAGAUAUACGCAAAUUGUGUACUGUACACUGUGGGAGGAAUGUAAACAAAUCCAGUGCCCCCACAGCAGUUGAAGAGAAAGGACUAAACACUGAUAAACAGAGUGAUGUUACAGUCAAACGCAAAAGAAACUAGUUAAUAUAUUAAGUUAGUGCGGAUACAAAUUAUUUAUAAGGAGAAGCAAGGAACCUAUGAGUGCGGACAAUUCAGCACAAAUAAAGUCCUCUAAACAGGAACUUAUAUAUGUAUGUGGAUUUAUUGCCAAAAAACUCAGCACAAAAGUUCCCGGCCUUGUCAGAGGCAGUGAGGAUAAAACAAACUGUGAUUGGAUAGACUGAAAAUCUAGAGGAUCCCAUGGUUUAUCCAUCUAAAGAGAAAAUAUUUCAAAAUUACAUGGAGAGUCACUUGAUAGAGGUCGAGAUCCAAUCGAAAAAACAAUUUCAGCUAUUGCUGCAAUAAGCAAUUGAUGGCCUCGGGAAGGUAUUAAACUUUUUGUAAAUGUUAGAUUUUUCAGUAGACUGAAAAAACUCAAUGUAAUCUUUAAGGAAAAAAGUAAAAAUAAUGUCAGAACACUAAAACAGACUGCUCAAUUUAUGUUUUA